rnacentral:rRNA from 1 species
AUACGGAGGAUGCGAGCGUUAUCCGGAUUUAUUGGGUUUAAAGGGUGCGUAGGCUGUGCGUUAAGUCAGGGGUGAAAUGCCGUCGCUCAACGACGGAGCUGCCCUUGAUACUGGCGUGCUGGAGUACGGAUGCCGUUGGAGGAAUGAGUGGUGUAGCGGUGAAAUGCUUAGAUAUCACUCAGAACACCGAUUGCGAAGGCAUCUGACGAAUCCGUCACUGACGCUGAGGCACGAAAGCGUGGGGAUAGAACAGGAUUAGAUACCCUGGUAUUCCACGCCGUAAACGAUGAUGACUAACCGUCGGCGAUAGACAGCCGGUGGCCAAGCGAAAGCGAUAAGUCGUCCACCUGGGGAGUACGUCGGCAACGAUGAAACUUAAAGGAAUUGACGGGG